rnacentral:rRNA from 1 species
UGCAGUCGAACGAGCUGCGGGACUUCGGUUCCGUGGUUAGUGGCGCACGGGUGCGUAACGCGUAUGCAACCUACCUUCCACAGGGGGAUAGCCCCGGGAAACCGGGAUUAAUACCGCAUGACAUAGUUUGAGGGCAUCCGAAGACUAUCAAAGAUUCAUCGGUGGGAGAUGGGCAUGCGUGCCAUUAGCUAGUUGGCGGGGUAAAGGCCCACCAAGGCGACGAUGGCUAGGGGUUCUGAGAGGAUGGUCCCCCACACUGGUACUGAGACACGGACCAGACUCCUACGGGAGGCAGCAGUAGGGAAUAUUGGGCAAUGGCCGAGAGGCUGACCCAGCCAUGCCGCGUGCAGGAAGAAGGCCUUCUGGGUUGUAAACUGCUUUUACCAGGGAAGAAAACGCUCCUGCGGGGGUAACUGACGGUACCUGGUGAAUAAGCACCGGCUAACUCCGUGCCAGCAGCCGCGGUAAUACGGAGGGUGCAAGCGUUGUCCGGAUUUAUUGGGUUUAAAGGGUGCGUAGGCGGCCCGUUAAGUCAGCGGUGAAAUCCCACGGCUCAACCGUGGAACUGCCGUUGAUACUGGCGGGCUUGAGUUCGGUCGAGGCGGGCGGAACUGGCGGUGUAGCGGUGAAAUGCAUAGAUACCGCCAAGAA